rnacentral:rRNA from 1 species
GAAACCCUGACGCAGCAACGCCGCGUGGGUGAUGAAGGUCUUCGGAUUGUAAAGCCCUGUUUUCUGGGACGAUAAUGACGGUACCAGAGGAGGAAGCCACGGCUAACUACGUGCCAGCAGCCGCGGUAAUACGUAGGUGGCGAGCGUUGUCCGGAUUUACUGGGCGUAAAGGGUGGGUAGGCGGAUGUUUAAGUGGGAUGUGAAAUCCCCGGGCUUAACCUGGGGGCUGCAUUCCAAACUGGAUAUCUAGAGUGCAGGAGAGGAAAGCGGAAUUCCUAGUGUAGCGGUGAAAUGCGUAGAGAUUAGGAAGAACACCAGUGGCGAAGGCGGCUUUCUGGACUGUAACUGACGCUGAGGCACGAAAGCGUGGGUAGCAAACAGGAUUAGAUACCCUGGUAGUCC